rnacentral:lncRNA from 10 species
GUAGCGGCUGUGUAUCGGCGAUGCGGGUGUUUCCCCAGUUUGUGGCCCCUGAGUGCUGGGUGGGACCGCGGUGACUGAACCUAGAAGGUGGAGAGGAAUCGUCCUCGGUGCCCAGAGGCGGCUCUGCAGCCCCGUGACGGCGACCACUGCUCCCGGGCCGUGCUUCCCCAAGUAGUCCGAUGGCAGCGGCUGUGCCGAGGCGCCCAACUCAGAUGGAGUUUCGCUCUUGUUGCCCAAGCUGGAGUGCAAUGGUGCCAUCUCGGCUCACUGCAACCUCCACCUCCUGGGUUCAAGCAAUUCUCCUGCCUCAGCCUCCCAAGUAGCUAGUAUUACAGGCACCUGCCACCACAGCAGGCUAAUUUUUGUAUUUUCGGUAGAGACAGGGUUUCACCAUGCUGACCAGGCUAGUCUUGAACUCCUGACCGGGUGAUCUGCCUGCCUCGGCCUCAAAGUGCUGGAAUUGCAGGCGUGAGCCACUGUGCCUGGCCAGUUGUAACUAUUUAUCACUGUCUGGACUCAUAAACAUUUUGAGAUGACUUUGGGAG